UACAGAGGUCUCAAGCGUUGUUCGGAUUCAUUGGGCGUAAAGGGUGCGUAGGCGGCGCGGUAAGUCGGGUGUGAAAGUCCAGGGCUCAACCCUGGAAUGCCGGUGGAUACUGUCGGGCUCGAGUCCGGAAGAGGCGAGUGGAAUUCCUGGUGUAGCGGUGAAAUGCGCAGAUAUCAGGAGGAACACCGAUGGCGAAGGCAGCUCGCUGGGACGGUACUGACGCUGAGACGCGAAAGCGUGGGGAGCAAACAGG
rnacentral:rRNA from 1 species